UAUAGUAUCCUUGUUUGAAGAUACAAAGACAAACACUCAUACGGACUUCGGCUACACCAUCAAAGCUUUGAGAAGCAAGAAGAAGCUUGGUUAGUGUUUUGGAGUCGAAUAUGACUUGAUGUGAUGUGUAUGAUUGAGUAUAAGAACUUAAACCGCAACUGGAUCUUAAAAGCCUAAGUAGUGUUUCCUUGUUAGAAGAUACAAAGCCAAAGACUCAUACGGGGUUUAGCUACACCAUCAAAGCUUUGAGAAGCAAGAAGAAGCUUGGUUAGUGUUUUGGAGUCAAAUAUUACUAGAUG
rnacentral:sRNA from 1 species